rnacentral:rRNA from 1 species
GACGAACGCUGGCGGCGUGCCUAAUACAUGCAAGUAGAACGCUGAAGGAGGAGCUUGCUUCUCUGGAUGAGUUGCGAACGGGUGAGUAACGCGUAGGUAACCUGCCUGGUAGCGGGGGAUAACUAUUGGAAACGAUAGCUAAUACCGCAUAACAGUAGAUAUCGCAUGAUAUCUACUUGAAAGGUGCAAUUGCAUCACUACCAGAUGGACCUGCGUUGUAUUAGCUAGUUGGUGAGGUAACGGCUCACCAAGGCGACGAUACAUAGCCGACCUGAGAGGGUGGUCGGCCACACUGGGACUGAGACACGGCCCAGACUCCUACGGGAGGCAGCAGUAGGGAAGCUUCGGCAAUGGACGGAAGUCUGACCGAGCAACGCCGCGUGAGUGAAGAAGGUUUUCGGAUCGUAAAGCUCUGUUGUAAGAGAAGAACGAGUGUGAGAGUGGAAAGUUCACACUGUGACGGUAUCUGACCAGAAAGGGACGGCUAACUACGUG